UCCCUGAUAGCUCAGUUGAUAAAGAAUCUGCCUACAAUGCAGGAGACCUGGGUUUGAUUCCUGGGCUGGGAA
rfam:TPA: Bos taurus chromosome 28, whole genome shotgun sequence.